ACAGCAUGUAAAAUCGGAAUUAGAGCUGUUUAAAGACACAGGACACCAUUUUCCAAAAGCUGGAAAAAAAUAUAGUCUUUAUUUUUACAAGAAAGCAGCCUGAUUUCCAGUCACCCGUCGCUGCACUGUGUGUUACUGACUGUGUCUUAGGCGGGUGGAGGAGGGUACACCGCUUUCAAAGCUGAUUUUGUAAGAAAAAAGCAUGGUUUCCAGUACAUGAUGUUCUGAAUUAAAAUAAAUGUUUGCAAAGGGGCUUGGAGUUAAAUCGGUCUCCCUUUAGCCUUUCCCGUCGCCUCUGAAGCAGGCAGUCUUAAUUUUUGUUGGAGUUGAGCGUUUAGUAGCGAUGUGCUGACACAUGCCUGUAGGCGAUCGGAAAGCCCUCUUUUUCGGGAGAUUAACGCUGUCUCCCUUUUUCUCUCUCAUUCAUCCAUAUGUGUGUGCAAUGUAGAGACUCUUAUUCUUUGGAUGGGAGUCUGCAAAAUGCACUUUUUUUUUCUUUGCUGAAAGGGUGAAAACGAUCAUGUUCAAAAAGUCAAAGCAGUCGAAGCCUGUUUUUUUUUUUUUUUUGGUUCAAAACCUAAAGCGUUUUAAUCAUUAUUAUAGUGUGUCUGGGCUGGUGGGUUGGGAGGGGGUAGUUAUGCGCCAAGAUGACCCCCACCCCUCCCCGGCUGUCUUCACAGAACCUGCCUGCGAUUUGCUUUGCGGUUGAAUUCUUACAGUGGUCAUUAAUGUAUGUAACGUGUACAGUUUUUUUUUUCCUUGUGGGGAAAAUCUCCUCCUGUAUUUCAGAUCUUAGGGCGGUGGCAGUACUCCAGCAGAGCUGAGUGAGGGGAGGCUGCUUUUGCAUAAUGAAAUGACAUAGAGUGUCAUAUGAUACACUCCACUGUUCCGCCUCCCUCCUUUUUUGUGUGUUCUGCCUUCCUGGAAAUGUGCAGAGGGGAACCUUGGGUUGGUUCCCCCCCUCCCCAAGCCAGUGGUGUGAUGGGGGUGGGUGGGGAGAUCCGUGCUCUCGUGCGACCUUGAUUCCAUCUGUGGGGAAGGAUCUGGGCCAAGGCAAAGGCAGGGCUGUAGCUUUCCUCUCCCAUUUGGAAUGUAGCGUGUUGCUGCGUUCCAAACUAGUUAGUUCCAUUGGGGAGGAUGACGUGUCAAGCCCCGCCCUCUACCACGUGCGCCGGGGACACUCCCUCUGGGGCUUCUGCUGGGUUGCUUCACAGCUGCACUUUCAUUCUUACAACAGAGCGUGUGGUUGGGUGGGGGAAGGGCUUCUACCAGUCGGAGCUGGGGAGAUCAGAAGUGCAGGGGGUUAAAGAAUAUUUCCCCCCUGCCUUCCCCCCCCACUGAUCAUCUGCUAAUUAAUGUUGGUGCAGGGCUUUGAAAAUGUAAAGUGCAAAAUAUGUCUGUCAGUGCAUCUUCUGAUGCAGGAAGAACCAGUCCUCACCCCAAGGGGUUUAUAGUCUAAACUGGAUAAAAAUAGGGCAGCAAGGACUAUACUUCGGUAUUUUCCCUCCAGCUCAUCUCUCUCACACUCCCCCCCCCCCCACCAUGUGAUCUUCAUCCUGCAGAUAACAACAUUGACCCUCUUAGUGGAUUGCAGCUUGAGUGUUCUCAAACUUUGGGGAUUACAGCAAGGAAGAACGACUGGGAAGGCUUCAUUUGCUAAAUAGUCAUGAAAUCACAUUCUUAAGGGAGUCAGCUGAUCUCUGCAGAAGUGUGAAGGAGAUCUCUACCCCAUAUAUUGCAUUGAACAGUUGCUUAGGAGACCUCUGAAGCAUCAAGAAAAGGCCAGUAGGAUACCAGGCUUGAUGGAAUGAACUAUGUGGUCUGAGUUGAGAUGGCAAAUCCUGUGUUUGUAGGACUGUCAUGCCACUGUCAAAUCUUGUGCAUAAAACAUUGUCAGUUUCACAGCAGAAACAGUACUAGCUCCUUAGCAUCAUGUCUCUUUGGUUUAAUUGUGUAUCUCAGAAAGCUGGUUUCCCCUGAUCACACAUGUGGCUUCCAAAUGUUUUGUAAAGCUGGCUCAAGUAUUUCCAGAAUAUUUCGUAUCCGCAGAAGUUACACUGAUGCCUUCGCUCUUGGCUGUUCUGCAUUUUCUAUCAGACAUACGUGGCUUUUUGUUGCUCUUCCAUCCUUUCAGAUGUGAAGAAAAAACUAAACCAGGUAGGGGAUUGUUUACCGUAACUGGUAACCUGGGUGUUCGACUCCUUCAGUUCUCUAACGACCCAGGUAAACUAGGACAUUUACUGUGUUGGGGAAUUGUGUUUAUAACACAGUUUGGUCUUGCCUUCGGGGAUGAGAUAAAACCAUGCCAUUAGCCACGUUAACAUUCCUCAGCAAAACCAAACAGUUUCUAAUCCAGUUGGGAAACUACCUUGUUGUUACCCAGUGCCCCAAAAUGGUAAAUAUUUUUCUAUACGUGGGCUGUAAUGCCUUGUCUGUUGAUCAAACUGUGUUUAAAAAUGGUUCUUACUAGAAAAGUGCUUGGGUGCUAUGAUAUUUUAGUAUGCCUCAGAUACAUGCUAACAUGGUUUCAAAUAGCAGCUUAAACAGGACCUAAAUAUGUUGUUAAGUGGUAUACGACAGCACGGUGUAGAUGAGGUAGGGACCUCUGGAGUGAACGCCAGUGCAUACGGGAUCUAAAAGUUGUACCAUGAUUAAAACAGGUGCCAAGUUUCUUUGCUAAAAGAUGCGCCAGGGUCUGCAAAAGAUGGCACAAGUGGGAAACUGCCAUCUCCAUUCAGGUUGGAGCACAGACUCUGUAACACAUCAGAAUAUAAUUAAGGGAUUGUGUUUUAGAGGUGGGAACUGUGCAUGUAUUUUCUCUUUAAAUGGACAUUGUCCAGCAGCCCUCCAUGAGUUGCAUACACACACACACGCUUCAUAAAAUAAAAAUAUCUGCUUCUUUACUAGCAUUUAUUUUUGUCUUGAUCUUUGUUGUUGUAGUGUUGCUCUUAAUUGCCAGUUGCAUGCACUGGAUUGUUAUUGUAGGGUUGCUCAAGAUUGCCGCAUGCCUCGUUUGCUGAUGGGGAAGUUGAAACACAAAGAGGUGAAUGGCCUAAUUUUAGAAGUGCUGAGCUCCCCUGUUCCCAGUUGCAGGCACCCCCUGAAAAUCAGCCUGUAAGUGACACGCCCAAGAGCACACUGUAAGUUGCUGGCACACUAAGCACAGAACCCAGGCAUCUUGAUUUCACGGUCUCCCACUCUAACCACUAGCCUUGCCACCUUCUUUGUCAUUAGUCAUGCUGCAUGCAGCAGCUUGAUUCUUUCCAGAGGUUAGACUCUGUGCUUCCCCAAAGAAGAUGGUGGGGAUUUUAUUUUUUUCUUCCCUCAAAGGCUCCCAGUUCAAUUGCAUUGGAGCUCCACUGUGGUCAGGGAGGAGGUAUGUGCCAUAACGGGUGCAUGGCAGGUGGACAUAGUUCUGUUGAUAUAAACACUAGCUUGACUUGUAUGAGUCUGCACAGGCCUGCUGAAACCACAGAAUAAAUUGACAGCGGGCUGGUUUCAAGAAAAUAAUUGCCUCUCAUAUCCCUGACCUAUCUUGUUACUUUACCGUUUGAUUAAAUAGCUGUUGUGUUCACCCUUUUUCUUUUUUUAAACUUUAUGAUGAAUGCAAACCUAGUACAGCAUGUUAACGUGUACAGCUAAUCAGGACAGGUGAUCUGAUGAGCAAAAGAGUAUCUCUGCGUAGCUGGAAUUUAAACCUUCUCUCAAGCUGGUGCUGUCUUCACAAUUUGUUUGUGUUUGACACACUAAAAAGAAAGUAUUUUGGAUCAUUGUCUAAGGAGAUACGGUUGGUUAAUGGGCUGAGCAGAAAAGAAACCAGAACCUGGCUUCUUCUCCUAGCUCUGCUGCUGUCUCCUUGUGUGGCCUUGGGGAAAGUCAUUUAAAUUCCACGGGUGAUAUCCUGACCCCGUGGAAGCAAAUGCCAUAACUCCCAUUUGACUUCAAUGGUGCCAGCUUUUCACCCAGCAUGUUUGUUUCCCUAUCUGUUAAAUGGGGGUAAUAGUAUUUAUCUACCUCACAGGAUACUGUGCUGAUAAAUAUCCUACAUUUUGGAUGGCCCCUGAAGUACAUGAAAAGUUACAUAUGUACCUGGGGCCAGACUUUCCACUGGUAUGAAUCGGCGUAGCUUUGUUGAAGUCAGCAGAUCUGAGCCUUAGUAUUUUAUACAUGAGUGUUUGAUGGAUGCAUAUGCUGGGCUGCUAUGAAAAACUCAGGAAAGGAAGGAUACCAUCUGCCUCCAACCCUCCCCCACACGUUUAUAGCUUUUUCAUAACACUUUGUGCAUGGGGCUCUAUAAAUGCUUCAAACUUACCAUUCUGCAUAGACUGAAUCUUGCUGUUCAGGAUUUUGGGAUUCCCCAGAAUGAAUUGCGAGUAAGUGCCUGCAUAAUUCCAUCAGGAACAUAGGAAUUAUCUUACCAGAUCAGACAAGGAGUCCACCUAGCCCAAUAUCCCGUAUUAACAGUAGUCUGUACUAGCAACUUCAGAAGAAGGUGUAAGAAAUCUUGUGGUGGACAAUUAGGAACCACCUGUCCAUAGAGGAGGUAAUUCUUAACCUUUGGCAGAAGAUGGUUCGUUUAUGCCCUGAGGGAUAAAGGUUUAGAGUUCUUUUGUUUUUUAAGGUGUUUUCAUCCAUAUAAUGUCUAAUCUAUAUUAUUUUUAAUCUCUUGGCCUCAGUGAUAUCGUUUCAGUGAAUUGCACAGGUUAAGUGUGUGUGUAUGCAAAUUAUGAGGGACUCCUGGACAAUGCCCAUUUAAAGAGCAAAAGGCUUUCCUUUGAUAAGUUUUCAACUUGUUGCUUUUCAGUUCUGUCGAGUGUCCCCUUGUUUUUGUAUUAUAAAACAGAGUGAAUAGGCGUUCCCAGUUUACUGUCUCUGGUCCAUUUGUUAGUUUAUGUACCUUUGACACAUCCCCUGUGAUUUCUCUGUCUAAAAGAAACAAGCCCACUCUCUCUUUGUACAGAAGCCUUUCCAUUGCUCUCAUAAUCAUCACCCAUUUCUGAACCGCCUCUAUUUCUACUCUCUCCUCUUGGGGUUAAGGGGAAGGAGCAGGGUUGAACAGAGCAUUCAAGGACAGAGGUGUCAGGGGGUCAUAUAAUGGAAAAAUCUGUGACAGUCCCAGUCAAAGUGGGGCAGCUGUCUCUUCUAGUUCUUACCUAUCCAGAGAGAGAUCAUCUGAGUUUGGCUUCUGAGUCCACACUCUCUUGCAUUGACCAUACUCCUCUGCUUGUUAGGAAAGCUGCUAUAAUUCUUCUGAUGCUCUAUUUUUAUUUUUCCCUAAUACAACAUACAGGUCCCUACAAAACCAGGAAUAACCUCGAUGUGUUUCAGUGUUUGCAUUAAUCCGAGCACAAUACUAGAAUCUCUUGGCUUGCUACCCCUCCCCCCUUUCUGCUUUCUGAAUCUUCCUCGUAAAACUAGCAGAAUCUGAUUUUAAAAAAGCAAAAUAUUUAUCUGAGGGCACCCGGUGAAAGCCUACAAAGUGGCAGUAACCCCUUGGAAGGUGAUGGAUGGAUGUGCCAUGUGUUAGCGUAGUUGUGAGGUGCUCUGCAUGGCACAGACUAAAUCAUGCUAGUAGCAGCUGUGUUUAAAGCUGCUAAUGUGAUUCUUGGUUUCCCUGGACUGUAUGGGGAAGAAGUUUUGUGCAUGUCUGAGAGUCCCGUUAGACCCAUGUUAUUGACUAACUAGAGGAGGCAAUUUAUUGAGCUUUGUCUGCACUAGGAAACUGUGUGGUUUCGUGGGUAUGAAACCCACAUCCCCUCUACCACUCCCAGCACCGUUCAAAUAGGGUUGGAAAGUGUUGUCCAAAAGGGCCCAUUUGAGUUUAUCAUCCAUUACAGGAUAUCUAGGUUUUACCCCUUAGUUCAUUCUUUCAUCCAGCUAUCCAUCUAGUUUGUUAGAAAUGCCUCUCUGGAACUCUAGGUAGCCUCUAUAGUCUUUAAAUACACCUGUGAGCAUUCAUAUGGCUCAAGGUUCAGAAGUCUCUCCCAUCACUACACAACUAAAAUCAUCUUUUGUCAACGGAUUGCUACCCCAUUCAAGCCACCCUUUGUGGAAACCUGGAUAUAGAUAGGCCUUGCAGUUUUCCCCCACAGUCGGUAGAUCCAGGUUCUGACGGACCAAAUGAGGAAAGAAUUCUACAGGCCAGGACCUCCUCCUGAAAAUAUCCUGCUACUAGCUAUCCAGCUUGAAGUGUUCAAACAGGUUUGUGCACUGUUCCGGGUUAGCUUUUUUCUCUGAAAAAUAACACUGGCCUUGUUGGCCGUGGAAUCAGUGCCGGAAGCCCGCUUGCAACAAUACGGCAGAAUUUUAACUCUGAUCUGGAGAGAGCUCUUGUCAGCGUGGCCGUAAGCAGACCACUUAGGCUCUUAUCAAGUCAAUUCCAUGAGGAACAGGCAAGUUUUCAGCUUUCCUGAGCCGCUGAUGGAAGAUGCCACGGAGGUAAAGAGUUGCAGUGAUGCUAUUAAUUGUGCCACAAGAGGACACGGCCCUGUUUUGCUAAGCAGAUGCCUGGGCGCACCACCCAGUGUGACACCUGUUCCCUCUUUGAUCCCGUUUAUUAGAAAUGACUGUGAAAAAACCCUUGCAUGAAGAUGAAUAUUGAUGUUCUUGUGAACUAGGAGACAGCCUGGAUGCUUGUUGCACCAUGGGGAGCCCUUGAUAUCAAAGAAGCUGUGAAGGCCGGUGACUCCAAUGCUUGGGUGCUGUCCCUUGAUAAGUAGACGUCUUUACAUUCUUAGCUGCUUCUCGUUUGCAAAUAUGAGAGUGGAAAUUUCAAACGCACUCCAUGUGCUCCCAUUGACUUUAGUGCGAAUAGAAUUAGCCCAGUGCUAACUGCUUUUGCAAAUCCCACUCUUGCAGCCUUUUGACCAGUAAGCUGUGAUGAACUGUACUUCUGUAACUGGAAUCUAAUAAACCUGGUAUUGCAUGCUCUGUACUUAGUGUUGCAUAAAAUAGCAUUUAAAUAUACCAUUUAAAGAGACAGAUGGUUAAUACACAGUUCCAGCGCUGCCAUGACUCAGUGUGACUUUGAGUAAGUCACUUAACCAGCCUGUGGCUUACUGUCCAGAAUCUCUAAAACUGAAAUAUUAAUUCACCUACCUGCCAGAAGCAUCAUGAGGCUUAAUUCAUCUACAUAUCUGAGAUCCUUGGCUGGAAGUGGCGAGAGACGUGCUAAGGAUUUUUGUUAUAACAAGUCAUUUUCUUAUUUUCUUUUGAAAUAAGUUUUAUUAAAGUAAGCACAGAUUUACAGUUAACAUUUGACCUGCAUAUUUAAAUAGUUUGUAGUUCCAUUGGGUUUCUACAGGCUUUCUGAUAGAUCUCAAGCCAUCCCAAUUUGCAAUUCACAGUCUCUCAUGUGAGUGUUUGUUUAGAGAACAUGGGACUGGAUUCCAUGAAAAGUCCCAUCUUGCUGCGGGGUCUUGCAUGGAAGCCAUUCAGCUGACAAAUAGCUUCUUAUAAGAAUAAACUGGUUUUCUGGGUAUUCCUUCAAAAAAAGCAGCUGAUGCCCAAUAGAAAAAAAACUGAAAAAAACAUCCUAUUUAGAAACGACUAAGGGCCUAUCAUAUGAUGCAGUGCAGGCAGUAGUAAAUCACGUGCCGUUUGUGGUUGUUCUGUCUGCUGAAGCCAUAGUUUUACAUUUUCGCAUCUGGAUUCUGUAUACCGUUGUACCUUCCGCCGAUUUCAGUCGGCCAGAUGGUCCCUUGGUGCGCUCCAGGGAAAGGGGCUCGGUUAUUCUACAGCCUUACCCUUUGAAGGCAGGGGCAUUAGACCUUUUGUGUAAAUUGUGUCAUGACGGCUAACGGGGAAAAAAUAAACCCUGAUCUUUCCUUUUGGCUUCUUUUUCCUCUGAGUGGUUUUUCUCUUGGCAAGUAGGCACUAACAUGUAAAUAACACAAAAAAACACCCCACCCCAACCCAAAAUGGGAGCGUAACAGACAAAGCUCUAGAUCUGCUGCUUUGGGAAACUGCCAGCAUUGGAGACCUGAUGGCACAAGGGCCUGAAGCAGAUCAUCAGAAGCCAUUUUGAGAGAGAAAGGGCUGCAAAUAUAAGUGUACUUAAGGAUGAGUUUUGAAGCCAGGUGUGAUGUUGUAACUUGAGUUCCUUCCAACUGUGCCUGGCCAGGAACCUCUCAUGUUAUCUGCGGGCCAGCGGCAUCUCAUUUGUCCAAGCCUCUUGUGUUAGACACCCCUGCUAAGCUUGAAGGGCAUCUCUUUAUUACCUGAAGACCAGCUUUGGCUCUGUCACUCUGGGGGUUCACAUAACACCACUCUGAGGGUCUUAUUUAGAAAUCUCCCCUCCCAGGCUGAGGUAAGAUCUCCCUAACAGAGUCCUUGGGAGAAUAAGGUUAAACGAUUUUCCCUUCUACCUGUGUUGAAUUGAGUUCCCACCCCAUCCUUGGUUUUGAAUUUAAGGGCCCUAUAUCCAGUCAGGAAUGAGAUUCUAUGUCAGCUGACUGUGUGCAUCCUAAAACCCUAGAAACUGAAGCUGGAAGUUUCGUAGAACUUUGUCUGAUCUCUUUUGAGAUGUCAAAUCCUUUGAAGUGUUCUAUUUUUUUCCCCACUCAGCAAUGCAUAGGGACAAUUAGAUCCAGCUCUUGACCACCUGGACUUGAAUUAGGGUUUUAGGAGUAGAUUGGUGAUUGUGGUGAGGGGAGGUAUGCCCUGCCCAACAAGCUGUCCAUCCCCCAUAAAGUAAGGUAAAGUAAGUGUGCCCCUUCCUCUCACUUAGCAGCUUAUAGGAUCUUGCAGUCAUUUCCUUCUCUGUUCAUUUAGGUUGGGUUAUGAGUGUUGCUUAGUUUUCCGAGAGGGUUUCAAAUAAACAUGUCAUAGUGAAACCUCCAAUAGCCUCUCUUAGUUGAUGCUGCAGAAGGCCUUUCUUCGUAAAGACUGAUUUGAUUUGCUUACACAGAUAUGCUCAUAUUUCUUCUGACUGGGGAAACAGGGACUCAAGCUUUUUGGCGGUAGUAGUGCCUGGUGACUAAUCUUCUUCACCUGAAUUGUAAUAGCAAACAGUACUUCAGUAGAAAGUUAGAAAGGAUGGCUUUGUGGGGUGGGCAUCAGCUAGGCAUACCUACCCUUCCUAGAACCACACUUUCAAAUCCCAGCAGGUUUGACUUCGUCCUUUAGAGUGUGGUAGUGUCCGAGCACAGGACUGGGAGCCAGGAUCACCUGAGUUCUAGUCCUUGCUCUGCUGCCGACUCCCUCCAUGGCUUUGGGCAAAUGGCUUAUCGUUGGCUGCCUUUCCCACAGCUGAAGCGUCACUGACUCCCACUUCGAAAUCCUCUGGGGUUCAGCUGCUGCGGUGGAAAAUAGCUGCUUCCUGGCUCUGUCCCUUUCUGUUCCCCAGAAAUACACCACAGGGCUUCAGCAAAAGGGUUUCUGAAGGGCUCCAGGGUGGGAGACGAUAUCAUGGAUUGAUAAUAAAUCAAAGCCCUGUCUCUUCUGGACUGACUUUAAAGAUACCAGAGUACAUUCGUAAGAGUGGUAAUUUGUCUCAGGUCCCUUUUGCCAGUAUUUCAGCUUUCCACCACUUUGGCAGACAGUGUCACACCUUAGAGGUGGAUGCAUUUCAGUGGCAAUUUGCAUACAAACAACUAGUGAAACAUGGUACCAUCCUUUGUGAUGAAAGACUAUCUUGGAAAUACUGAGAUAUUGACUGUGAUUUAUUUUCACUUGAAUAAUACAGUAUCAGUAGCCACAUCUCCAUGUGGAAUGAGAACAGAGCAUCUUGCUAGCAGCCUGGAAUUUGAGUGAAGUAUUUGGAUCAGCAACAGCUGGGGAAACAAUGAUGGAGAAGAAACAGCUGGUACUUUUCCUGUGGGCACAUUUUUGCUGUGUUAAUGAAGGCCCAGCCCAACACUGGAGAUAUCUGUCAAACCACAUCAUACUAGAAAGAUGUUGGUAAGGGUUCGGAGAAGAGCCAUGAGAAUGAUUAAAGGAUUAGAAAAUAUUCCUAAGAGUGGUAGACUCAAGGAGCUCAAUCUAGUUAGCUACAAAGAGAAGGUUAAGGGGUGACUUGAUCACAGUCUCUAAGUACCUGCGUGGGGAUCAGAUAUUUGAUAAUGGGCUCUUCAGUCUAGCAGAAAAGGUAGAACAUGAUGAAAUAUCUAGAAGUUGAAGGUAGACAAAUUCAAACUGGAAAUAGGAAAUAAGGCAUACAUUUUUAACAGUGAGAGUAAUUAACCAUUGGAACAAUUUACCAAGGUCAUGGUAUAUUCUCCAUCACUAACAAUUUUUAAAUCAAGAGUGGUUAUUUUUCUAAAAUGUAUGCUCUAGAAAUUAUUGGGGGAAGUUUGUGGCUUGUAUUAUACCGGAGGUCAGUCUAGAUCACAAUAGUUCCUUCUGGUCUUGGAAUCUGUGACUCUAUGACUGCAGAGACAAAGAAUAGACGAUAGAAAGCAGAUGGGGGGGAAGGCGUUUGCAUCUCUUAUAGAGGAAGGAGUGAAGAGUGCGAGCCCCAGAGCCAGGAGAGUAUAACCCCUGGCAUUCAAGGUUUGCCUAAAGUGAGGCAGAUGCCAAGUGCAGCUGGUCAGCACUCACCCUCAUGCUAUGCAUGUGGCGGACGAGCUAGUGCCGAGUGCAUGUGUGCUGUGUGGAGAAUGUAGUUUGUGAGGAUUGUGCCUGUAUGUCAUAAUUCUGCAUAAAAACGGUCACGGGUGAAAGGCCCAUAGGAAAGUUUAAAGGCAAAUUGAACCAUAAGGUGUGUAGUUUUAUCCCCAUGUGUCUUGCGCCUGUCCUUUGCUUAUUGAAAGGUCUCUUCCAUUCGAACCAGUGCCUCCAGCCAAGACCAGAUUUAGUAUUUUGCUCUGAUAUAAUGAAGGGUUUUUUUUUUUGAGACAGCAUCCUCCUCAAUCUCUCAUUGCUCAGAAAUUCCCCCCACCUCCUCCC